GGGCAAUUGAUAGAUAUACGUUAAUUCAUAAUUGUAGGGAUUAGGUUUUCGCAGUCACAGGCUCCUCCUCCUCCUCGUCUGUUCUCUGUCGCUGCUCGCACGCACAGAUCCGAAGGAAAUAAUUACCAGUUUCCGAUGGCGCCUCCUCCAGGACCCUAUUCCGGAACCAGCACCCUUGCUUUGGUGGCUCGUGCUUCGGCCUUCUCUAUUGGACUCGUUUACGGCAGCCUUAAACUCAAGUACCUCAAGGCAAAGGCCAAAUCUCAUAAGAAAGCUGAGGCAAAGGCUCAUCACUGAAGGGAAUAGGCAUCCAGUAACGAUGGAAUUAAGGCAUGUUUGCUGUUGGGAAUAGAAAUAAUGCAUGAUAAUGGACUGAACCAUUUUUUCAUCUUUUCUUAGAAACAUUCUGGAUUAUGACACACAGAUUAUGGCUGCUUGAGUUUUCUAUGAGCCAUUGUUAACUUAGUUAUCUGAUAUCUCUUAAUAUAGUCACCUUGGCAAUCUUCACGGCAUUUCAGUUUCUAUUGCUUUGUGAAGGCCUAGGGAAAUACUCUGAUGAUUA